rnacentral:rRNA from 1 species
UACACAUGCAGUCGAGGGGUAUAGGUUUUCGGAUCUAGAGACCGGCGCACGGGUGCGUAACGCGUAUGCAAUCUACCUUUUACAGAGGGAUAGCCCAGAGAAAUUUGGAUUAAUACCUCAUAGUAUUAUGAAAUGGCAUCAUUUUAUAAUUAAAGUCACAACGGUAAAAGAUGAGCAUGCGUCCCAUUAGCUAGUUGGUAAGGUAACGGCUUACCAAGGCAACGAUGGGUAGGGGUCCUGAGAGGGAGAUCCCCCACACUGGUACUGAGACACGGACCAGACUCCUACGGGAGGCAGCAGUGAGGAAUAUUGGACAAUGGGCGCAAGCCUGAUCCAGCCAUGCCGCGUGCAGGAUGACGGUCCUAUGGAUUGUAAACUGCUUUUGUACGAGAAGAAACACUACUUCGUGAAGUAGCUUGACGGUAUCGUAAGAAUAAGGAUCGGCUAACUCCGUGCCAGCAGCCGCGGUAAUACGGAGGAUCCAAGCGUUAUCCGGAAUCAUUGGGUUUAAAGGGUCCGUAGGCGGUUUAGUAAGUCAGUGGUGAAAGCCCAUCGCUCAACGGUGGAACGGCCAUUGAUACUGCUAGACUUGAAUUAUUAGGAAGUAACUAGAAUAUGUAGUGUAGCGGUGAAAUGCUUAGAGAUUACAUGGAAUACCAAUUGCGAAAGGCAGGUUACUACUAAUUGAUUGACGCUGAUGGACGAAAGCGUGGGUAGCGAACAGGAUUAGAUACCCUGGUAGUCCACGCCGUAACGAUGG